GCCAGCAUUAGUUGGGCACUCUAAGGGACGUGCCGGUGAUAAGCCGAGAGGAAAGGUGGGGGAGUGACGUCAAGUCCUCCAUGGCCCUUACGGGCUGGGCUACACACGUGCUACAAUGGUGGUGACAGUGGGCAGCGAGCAACGCGAGUGUGAGCUAAUCUCCAAAAGCCAUCUCAGUUCGGAUUGCACUCUGCAACUCGAGUGCAUGAAGUUGGAAUCGCUAGUAAUCGCGGAUCAGCAUGCCGCGGUGAAUACGUUCCCGGGCCUU
rnacentral:rRNA from 1 species